UACGUAGGAGGCGAGCGUUGUCCGGAAUUACUGGGCGUAAAGGGCGCGUAGGCGGCUCAUACAGUCAGAUGUGAAAUUCCUGGGCUUAACCUGGGGGCUGCAUUUGAUACGUGUGGGCUUGAGUGGGGAAGAGGGUCGUGGAAUUCCCAGUGUAGAGGUGAAAUUCGUAGAUAUUGGGAAGAACACCGGUGGCGAAGGCGGCGACCUGGUCCUUGACUGACGCUGAGGCGCGAAAGCGUGGGGAGCAAACAGG
rnacentral:rRNA from 1 species